rnacentral:rRNA from 1 species
ACUCCUACGGGAGGCAGCAGUGGGGAAUAUUGGACAAUGGGCGAAAGCCUGAUCCAGCCAUGCCGCGUGUGUGAAGAAGGUCUUCGGAUUGUAAAGCACUUUAAGUUGGGAGGAAGGGCAGUAAGUUAAUACCUUGCUGUUUUGACGUUACCAACAGAAUAAGCACCGGCUAACUUCGUGCCAGCAGCCGCGGUAAUACGAAGGGGUGCAAGCGUUAAUCGGAAUUACUGGGCGUAAAGCGCGCGUAGGUGGUUCAGCAAGUUGGAUGUGAAAUCCCCGGGGCUCAACCUGGGGAACUGCAUCCAAAACUACUGAGCUAGAGUACGGUAGAGGGUGGUGGGAAUUUCCUGUGUAGCGGUGAAAUGCGUAGAUAUAGGAAGGAACACCAGUGGCGAAGGCGACCACCUGGACUGAUACUGACACUGAGGUGCGAAAGCGU